UAAAGGCCCCCUAACGGAGAAACCGGUUCUACGGAACCCGAGUGAGGUGGAGCAUCUUUUCAAAUGACACGUGCAUACAGUGAAGUAUGAUGAGUCUUGAGGAAUGUGGCAGAUACACGGCUAUGAAAUGAAGUGGAACAAGCAAGGCCCAAAAGAAGGAUUAUGUCCUAAUGAGUUACUGAAGGAAGAAAUAAGUCCUGGUAUACUGGAAAAAAAAAAAGGGAGCUUUGGUGUCAGACAGACUCUCAUUACAACCUUGGUUAUUAAAUCUCUUUGGGUUUCAGUGUCUUUAUUUGUAAAAAGAAAAAUGCUUAUCUCUAUCUGGGUAGUCGUUAUGGGGAUUAGAGAAGAUGUAGGAAUAAUUGAGUGAAAAAAACAGCAAUCCACACAUAAGGCUGAACAUACAAAUACUGUCUACAAAUACUUAUUGAUCAAAUCUGGAGAUAAGAAGUUGUUCUAAAGGAAUGAAAAAUGGAUAGAAGAGAAAAUCAUCCAGGAUUCCUUAUGGAGCCCAGGAACAGCACAGGGAAAAUACUUGGUCUUCAAAUAUAUGAUUGCCUUUGUCAAUUUUUCUGUUCUUUCUUUUAAGGUCCUCAUGUCUAUGAUUCUACAUCCCAGGCCCUUCAUCUAUGCAAUCCUCCUCCCCUACCCUCAUCCCAAGGGCUGUUUUGCAUCCCAUUUUUCUCUCAACUGUUGAUUCAUUUUCUUGCAGAAGCAUGCACCAAAAAAUUGAGGUGCCAACUCAUAUACCUUUACUGUGUGAAAUCUCCCAGGGAGCAUUUGCAUUUCAAGGGAAAAACAAAGCCUUCAAGUUCUGGAAAAGUGUUAAAAGGUGGGGACAGUAUUAUGUGCCGGAGAGCUCUUCUUAACAUCACUCUAGCUGAAGCACCUGCCUGCAAUGCCAACCCCGCUCUGCAAAGGGCCCUUCCUCAUGCUUAGUGGCUGUGAACAAGGUAGACCUAUCUACAGACACAAGGCUUCUGAGGGUCGGCCACUGGACACGCGGUCAUCACAGCGUGCAUGGGUCCAUCCUCUUCUUUUCAAUCACUGUUUACCCAUCCACCUUUGGUCCUAUGAAGAUACAGUCUUCUCUAAAGCCCAGUUCACCCCAUUUUCUCCUCUCCUAAAGAUUAAAAAUAGCACUCUCUUCAAUGACCUCAAUAAUUUAGAACCCAUGAAUAAGUCAUUUGCCCAAGAGGCUACAGUGGGGUGUCUAUUUUUACUUAUAGUCUUUCACUAAGCAAAGUGACCUCUCUCAAGGAGCCAACGUUGAAGCCCGUUGAUCUUCUGGCUUCUCAGGGGACAGCCCAGGCGGUGCUCACAAUGCAGAGUCUCUUCUCAAGGGCAAAGAUGGACCCAUAGGUGUCACUGACUUCAGAAUGUGCAUAACCAAACAUGAAUUUAGGCAUAUAUGCUUUGCGCAGAACUCCUGAAGCUGCCUGGAGCAUGUCCCAGGAGGAACACUUCCUAUAAAGUAGAGCCAGAAAAUGCUGCCUACCCCAGAGGUCUUCCCUGGGGCCCCUUCUUCCUUAAGACACCAUUUUGUCAACAUUGAACCUUAACAGGAGAGCAAUACAAUAGUACAGGUCCCUAAAUCCUUGGGGCUGCCACAACCUCCCAACCUCAUGCCUCCAUCCACCUUCAAGAUGCAUCCCCUAGCCCCAUCUCAUCUGUGUACUACUUUCAGGAAGGUUAGACAUUUACUCUGUGCCAAUCCAGUGGUCACUGUGAAGACUCCACCUCAGGAUUUUGGCCACCACUUUAUAAAAAUAAAUUGAUUUUU